UACGAAGGGUGCAAGCGUUAAUCGGAAUUACUGGGCGUAAAGGGUGCGUAGGCGGUUCGUUAAGUCUGUCGUGAAAUCCCCGGGCUCAACCUGGGAAUGGCGAUGGAUACUGGCGAGCUAAAGUGUGUCAGAGGAUGGUGGAAUUCCCGGUGUAGCGGUGAAAUGCGUAGAGAUCGGGAGGAACAUCAGUGGCGAAGGCGGCCAUCUGGGACAACACUGACGCUGAAGCACGAAAGCGUGGGGAGCAACCAGG
rnacentral:rRNA from 1 species